rnacentral:rRNA from 1 species
CAUGCAGUCGAACGGCAGCGCGGGGCAAUCUGGCGGCGAGUGGCGAACGGGUGAGUAAUAUAUCGGAACGUGCCCUGGAGUGGGGGAUAACGCAGCGAGAGUUGCGCUAAUACCGCAUACGAUCUAAGGAUGAAAGCAGGGGACCGCAAGGCCUAGUGCUCCUGGAGCGGCCGAUAUCUGAUUAGCUAGUUGGUGGGGUAAAGGCCUACCAAGGCAUCGAUCAGUAGCUGGUCUGAGAGGACGACCAGCCACACUGGAACUGAGACACGGUCCAGACUCCUACGGGAGGCAGCAGUGGGGAAUUUUGGACAAUGGGCGCAAGCCUGAUCCAGCAAUGCCGCGUGAGUGAAGAAGGCCUUCGGGUUGUAAAGCUCUUUUGUCAGGGAAGAAACGGUGGGGGCUAAUAUCCCCUGCUAAUGACGGUACCUGAAGAAUAAGCACCGGCUAACUACGUGCCAGCAGCCGCGGUAAUACGUAGGGUGCAAGCGUUAAUCGGAAUUACUGGGCGUAAAGCGUGCGCAGGCGGUUUUGUAAGUCUGUCGUGAAAUCCCCGGGCUCAACCUGGGAAUUGCGAUGGAGACUGCAAGGCU